AAACGACUCUCGGCAACGGAUAUCCCGGCUCUCGCAUCGAUGAAGAACGUAGCGAAAUGCGAUACUUGGUGUGAAUUGCAGAAUCCCGUGGGCCAUCGAGUUUUUGAACGCAAGUUGCGCCCGAUGCCAUUAGGCUGAGGGCACGUCUGCCUGGGUGUCACGU
rnacentral:rRNA from 1 species